rnacentral:rRNA from 1 species
UACAGAGGUCUCAAGCGUUGUUCGGAUUCAUUGGGCGUAAAGGGUGUGUAGGUGGCGCCGUAAGUCGGGUGUGAAAUUUCGGAGCUUAACUCCGAAACUGCAUUCGAUACUGCGGUGCUUGAGGACUGGGAGAGGAGGCUGGAAUUCAUGGUGUAGCAGUGAAAUGCGUAGAGAUCAUGAGGAAGACCAGUGGCGAAGGCGGCUCACUGGCCCGAUACUGACGCUGGAGGUGCGAAAGCGUGGGGGAGCAAACAGG